UUCUUCUCAGGAAGUGGGGUUCUAAGCCAAGCCCAAUCAACCUUCAUGCUAGUGGGUGCACUUUCUGUUGGGUCUCAGGAAGAACUACACUAAGGUCUGCAAACCAACUCCAUGUCAUGGAGCAAGAGGCUCUGUCCAUGAGGAAAGGGUCCUUCCAAUCAUGCCAUCACUUUCUUCUCAGCAAGAAGGAUGCUUAUAAGACUUCACCAUCCAGAGGUCCUGUGCCAUUAUUUCAGAUGAUCGAGUAAACCAAGAAGAACUCAUUGCAGAGUCCUACCCAUUUAACAGGCCUGUCACUGCCCUAAUGCGAUUGGAGAGAGAGAAUGCUGCAGCAAGCCCUGAAAUCAUAUGAACAACAGAAACAGACUCAGUGGAACACUCAGAAGAAAUUAGUCCAGGACGGUAAAAUCCUAGUGAAUGGGAUUCAGCAAUCAAAACUGUGGGAAAAAAAAAUGUUUGUUUCUCAUACAUACCCCAUCUCCAGUAAUUUGUUACAGCAGCACAAAUUAAGACAUGUGUCUGAGAUAUCUCCCCCUGACUCCUCAGGGAGCCAUGGCUUGCCCCCCUGGGCCUCAUCAUCCUCCUGAAGCACCCCUGAGGGAGGAAGAGACUAGUCUUAGAUGACCCCUGUGGAAGGGUUACACAGCCUCCAAAGGGGCGGCUAUCUACAGGUUGAGAACCACUGCUCUCAGGUGUCUGCAGGAGAGUUGCUGCUGCAUGGACAAGCUCCUUGUUGAGUUAGGCCUGUGUGCCAAGCACAGCAAUGGAUGGUAUCGAGCUGGAUAAUAGCGCCCUCACUGUAGAGGAACUGAGCUCAGAAAGGAGGAACAACUGCCGACCCCUGAAUGAAAUGUGGUCCACACUGCACCUCGCCUCCUACUGGGAGAGGAUUUGGGGGUGGAAAAUAUGAUUUCUAUUUGAUA